UGGGGAAUAUUGCACAAUGGGGGAAACCCUGAUGCAGCGACGCCGCGUGAACGAAGAAGGUAUUCGUAUCGUAGAGUUCUGUCCUAUGGGAAGAUAAUGACAGUACCAUAGAAGAAAGCUCCGGCUAAAUACGUGCCAGCGGCCGCGGUAAUACGUAUGGAGCGAGCGUUGUCCGGAAUUAUUGGGCGUAAAGGGUACGCAGGCGGUUUAAUAAGUCGAAUGUUAAAGAUCGGGGCUCAACCCCGUAAAGCAUUGGAAACUGAUAAACUUGAGUAGUGGAGAGGAAAGUGGAAUUCCUAGUGUAGUGGUGAAAUACGUAGAUAUUAGGAGGAAUACCAGUAGCGAAGGCGACUUUCUGGACACAAACUGACUCUGAGGUACGAAAGCGUGGGGAGCAAACAGG
rnacentral:rRNA from 1 species